rnacentral:rRNA from 1 species
GGGGAAUCUUCCGCAAUGGACGAAAGUCUGACGGAGCAACGCCGCGUGAGUGAUGAAGGUCUUCGGAUUGUAAAGCUCUGUUAAUCGGGACGAAAGAGUUCUGUGUAAAUAAUGCAGAAAAGUGACGGUACCGGAAUAGAAAGCCACGGCUAACUACGUGCCAGCAGCCGCGGUAAUACGUAGGUGGCAAGCGUUGUCCGGAAUUAUUGGGCGUAAAGCGCGCGCAGGCGGCCUAUCCAGUCUGUCUUAAAAGUUCGGGGCUUAACCCCGUGAUGGGAUGGAAACUGCCAAUCUAGAGUAUCGGAGAGGAAAGUGGAAUUCCUAGUGUAGCGGUGAAAUGCGUAGAUAUUAGGAAGAACACCAGUGGCGAAGGCGACUUUCUGGACGAAAACUGACGCUGAGGCGCGAAAGCCAGGGGAGCGAACGGGAUUAGAUACCCCGGUAGUCCUGGCCGUAAACGAUGGGUACUAGGUGUAGGAGGUAUCGACCCCUUCUGUGCCGGAGUUAACGCAAUAAGUACCCCGCCUGGGGAGUACGGCCGCAAGGUUG